rnacentral:misc_RNA from 1 species
GAUGAAGAACGCAGUGAAAUGCGAUAAGUAAUGUGAAUUGCAGAAUUCAGUGAAUCAUCGAAUCUUUGAACGCACAUUGCGCCCGCCAGUAUUCUGGCGGGCAUGCCUGUUCGAGCGUCAUUUCAACCAUCAAGCCCCAGGCUUGUGUUGGGGACCUGCGGCUGCCGCAGGCCCUGAAAACCAGUGGCGGGCUCGCUGUCACACCGGGCGUAGUAGAUUUUAUCUCGCUCAGGGCGUGCUGCGGGUUCCGGCCGUUAAAAAGCCUUUUUUACCCAAGGUUGACCUCGGAUCAGGUAGGAAGACCCGCUGAACUUAAGCAUAUCAUAAGCGGAGGA